rnacentral:tRNA from 1 species
GCCUGGAUGGCGGAACUGGUAGACGCGCUAGACUCAAAAUCUGGUUUCUGCAAGGAAGUGGGGGUUCGAUUCCCCCUUCAGGCA